AUGGUUUGGCACCUCGAUGUCGGCUCGUCGCAUCCUGGGGCUGGAGCAGGUCCCAAGGGUUCGGCUGUUCGCCGAUCAAAGCGGCACGCGAGCUGGGUUCAGAACGUCGUGAGACAGUUUGGUCUCUAUCCUCUGCGCUCGUUGGAAUCCUGAGGAGGCCUGCCCAUAGUACGAGAGGACCUGGGUGGACGAACCUCUGGUAUGCCGGUCGUCACGCCAGUGGCGCGGCCGGUUGGCUACGUUCGGGAGGGAUAACCGCUGAAAGCAUCUAAGCGGGAAGCCUGCUCCGAGAUCAGGAUUCCGUGACCCCCCUGGGGGUCUGGAGACUCCAUGCAGAACACGUGGUUGAUAGGCCGGACGUGGAAGCCCCGCAAGGGGUGGAGCCGACCGGUACUAACAGUCGAACGGCAACACCAC
rnacentral:rRNA from 1 species